GAUGAACGCUGGCGGCGUGCCUAAUACAUGCAAGUCGAGCGAACAGACGAGGAGCUUGCUCCUCUGACGUUAGCGGCGGACGGGUGAGUAACACGUGGAUGACCUACCUAUAAGACUGGGAUAACUUCGGGAAACCGGAGCUAAUACCGGAUAAUAUAUUGAACCGCAUGGUUCAAUAGUGAAAGACGGUUUUGCUGUCACUUAUAGAUGGAUCCGCGCCGCAUUAGCUAGUUGGUAAGGUAACGGCUUACCAAGGCAACGAUGCGUAGCCGACCUGAGAGGGGGAUCGGCCACACUGGAACUGAGACACGGUCCAGACUCCUACGGGAGGCAGCAGUAGGGAAGCUUCCGCAAUGGGCGAAAGCCUGACGGAGCAACGCCGCGUGAGUGAUGAAGGUCUGCGGAUCGUAAAACGCUGUUAUUAGGGAAGAACAAAUGUGUAAGUAACUAUGCACGUCUUGACGGUACCUAAACAGAAAGCCACGGCUAACUACGU
rnacentral:rRNA from 1 species